UUUAAAUUAAUAAAAAAUUAAUAAUUAAUAAUUUAUUGUUUACUACUUUAACUUUGUAGCAAUAUUCCAAGUGUUAGUUUGUUGUUUGUAAUUAGAUUUUUUUUAUAUUUUCAUUGUUAAUUUUCUGUUUAAGUUUUUAUUUUGUCAUUUAUGAUGGUAGAGUUGAAAAAAGUAAACAAGAAAUAACAAGGCAGAAUUUACACUAUUUCUUAUUGGAAACAAGAUGGAACUGAUAUUAAACUGUCAAAAGAUUAAAAACUCCAGCUAGUUGCUGUUGUUAUAUCGGGGAAGUUUAAAUUUUCUUAAUUGGAAUAUGAAGUUAAUGUAAAAAUGCUCACAGUAUAACAAGUUUUGUAACCAGCAAAAUAACUGCCACAGGUUUUAUGGCUUGCAAAUAGAUUUUGCAAGUUUUGUGGCUUGAAAACAAGUACAACAAGUUUUUUGACUAGUAAAUAAGUACCACAAGUUUUGUUGCUUGCAAAUAAGGUACAGCAAGUUUUGUAGCUUACAAAUAGGUAUUGGAAGUUUUGUGGCUUGCAAAUAGGUACGGCAAAUUUUAUGACUUGCAAAAUAAGUGUCGCAAGUUUUGUUGCUUGCAAAUAAGGUACAGUAAGUUUUGUGGCUUGCAAGUAGGUACCGCAAAUUUUGCGGCUUGCAAAUUGAUAGUUGGCUCUGGGUUACCUUUAUGUGGUGUCUAUUGUUAAAAGUUAUUCAUUUGGUUUCGUUAAUGUAAUUUAAAAAUUAAAUUAUUUACUAGAAGCUUAGACAAGAAAUAAUAACAUUUUUUAUUUCAAAAAAUUUGUUCUUUUUUUGUGUUUUUUUCUCAGGUUGGAGUGCUUAAUCUGUUCCUUUACAUGAUAAUGUAUAGUCAGAUGCAUCUUGUAAUGCGGUAAAAUAGUUUUUUAUUCGAAUUUCUUUUUCUUUAAAAAAACAUUUAAAGACUUCUUUGUUAAAUUGUAAUUAAAAUUUUUUAAUUUGGUUCCGACAGAGGAGGGGGAUAGCUUGCUCCUCUUUUUAUAAAGACAAAUUAUACACCUCUAGGUGUAUAAAUUGCCUUAUUGAAAGGGGGUGCAUAAAGGCAAUUUAUACAUACUAUACUACCUUUUUUUAUUUCAAAAGGCUUGUUGUUUUUGUGUAUUUUUUUUUAGGUUGGAGUGUGUAAUCCGUCUUUUUUCAUGACAAAAUGGUUACUCUGAUGCAUUUUCAAUUGCAAGUUUCCAAAUACAUGCAAAGUAAAGUAAAGAAAGCAAUACUUUUCAACUGUUGGUUACAUGGCACAUGUAUUAAAGCCUUCUGUCACAGUUGACUCAGCAAGAAUGAAGACAUUGAUACACUUUUGCAUUUAGGAAUACACAAGUGGGAAUACACAAGUGGGAAUACACAAGUGUUCCUCGCCCACUGCCACCCAAAUACAGGUAUAAGAAAUCCUUAUCUCUACGUAACAGACGAUGGAGACGAAGUGAUUAUUAUGUGUGGCAAAAGAUUAUUUUAUGAAGUUUUUCAUUUUCUGACUUCGUGAUGGAACUUAUUGGAGUACACUUUUUUUGGACAUAGGAGGAGUAUUGCCGCUACAAGCAUAAACAAUAAUAAAACAUUCCAAAGAAUAAUUUAUUAUUUCAAC